rnacentral:misc_RNA from 1 species
GGAAGUAAAAUUCGUAACAAGGUUUCCGUAGGUGAACCUGCGGAAGGAUCAUUACCGAGUGAGGGCCCUCUGGGUCCAACCUCCCACCCGUGUUUAUUAUACCUUGUUGCUUUGGCGGGCCCGCCUCACGGCCGCCGGGGGGCUUCUGCCCCCGGGCCCGUGCCCGCCGAAGACACCUUAGAACUCUGUCUGAAGAUUGUAGUCUGAGUAAAAAUAUAAAUUAUUUAAAACUUUCAACAACGGAUCUCUUGGUUCCG